UACGGGGGGGGGCAAGCGUUGUUCGGAAUUACUGGGCGUAAAGGGCUCGUAGGCGGCCAACUAAGUCAGACGUGAAAUCCCGAGGCUCAACCUCGGGUCUGCAGUCGAUACGAGCAAACUAGAGUGUUGCAGGGGAGACUGGAAUUCCUGGUGUAGCGGUGAAAUGCGCAGAUAUCAGGAGGAACACCGGUGGCGAAGGCGGGUCUCUGGGCAACAACUGACGCUGAGGAGCGAAAGCGUGGGGAGCGAACAGG
rnacentral:rRNA from 1 species